AGGAUGAACGCUAGCGACAGGCUUAACACAUGCAAGUCGAGGGUAACAGGGUAGCAAUACCGCUGACGACCGGCGCACGGGUGAGUAACGCGUAUGCAACCUGCCUAUAACUGGGGAAUAGCUCCCUGAAAGGGGAAUUAACACCGCAUAACACUAUUGAUUCGCAUGGAUUUGUAGUUAAAUGUAGCGAUACAGGUUAUAGAUGGGCAUGCGUGACAUUAGCUAGUUGGUGAGGUAACGGCUCACCAAGGCUACGAUGUCUAGGGGUUCUGAGAGGAAGGUCCCCCACACUGGUACUGAGACACGGACCAGACUCCUACGGGAGGCAGCAGUGAGGAAUAUUGGUCAAUGGGCGCAAGCCUGAACCAGCCAUGUCGCGUGCAGGAAGACUGCCCCCUAUGGGUUGUAAACUGCUUUUAUAGUAGAAGAAACACAUCUACGUGUAGAUGUCUGCCAGUAUACUAUGAAUAAGCAUCGGCUAACUCCGUGCCAGCAGCAGC
rnacentral:rRNA from 1 species